CUGAUUGCUUACAGAGAGAGAAGGAUGAGCCCGAUUUAGGAAACCCAACUGAGGCCUGCUCAUCAAUUGUGUCCCUCUGGCCUACAUGGGAUACAUUGAAACAGAGCAUCUGUCAGGAGCUAGAUCUAAGUGAUCACAAGUUCACCAUCUAUGUGCAGCCAUCGGAGAUGCUGCAGUAGAUCACUUCUAACCAUGUUGACUUCUCCACUAUUGGAAUAUGCUGCACUUGUCUCUUGUAUUAGUUGCUAUAAUUGUGGCAGGAUAUGCAGCACAAUGGGUGUGUCCCAAUUCAUGGGCUGCACCCUUCUAAGGCUGUGUCCUAUAUGAAGAUCAAGUCUUCAGAGGUCGAACAAACUAUUCAUAAAUGAUAGACCCUAGGAGUAUUUGUUGUGGCGUCAUUAACUUUUCAUGCCCUUACCCUCUGUUGCCUGGCAGCAUUGGCAGCUGCACGUGACAAGCUGUCAUAGUGGGCAUAACUCGUAGCUUAGUAAUCAUUUUUCAGUACUUAUGUAUACUUUAUUUUUAUUUUUAAUUUAUCAACCAUUUUAUGUUGCAAAAAAAUGUGUAAUGAUUGUGAUGGGGUGUUUGGAUACGAAGGAUACAGCAGUUGUAUCCUUUGUUUAUUUGUUGGGGGGGGGCUUUCCCAUUCGAAAUGAGACGGCCUAGGCGCACCACUAUGAUGAAUACGCUGUCUUAGAAGGGUGCUGCUCUUUAAUUCAGACCAGUGUUGCCAAAGUUACUUUGAAAAGUUACUUUGUUAGUGACUUCUUACAGUUAUAUUUUACAGUUACUUCAUACAGUUACUUCAUUAGCAGCUGCGAACAUCUUGUCAGCAGCUGCUGAAUGUAACUUAUAAAGUAACUAGGAAUCUAGCUUCAAUAUUUUUAAGAUUGAGUACUCAGAAAAGUAACUAUUGCUUACUUUGCUGAUUAUUCAAUCUUAAGAGUAACCAAGUUAGAUUACUAGUUACCUUAUUAGUUGCAUUACUUAUUACUUACAAAUUUACAUGUUGUUGGCAGCUGAUAAUACGACUAGUAACUACAUAAUGUAAGUGUAUAAAGGAACUAAUAAAGUAACUUUUCAAAGUUACUGUGGCAAUACUGAUUUGGACACACUUGAAAGUGAGCAUACGGCUAAAAUUUUACAUUACGGAUUUGUCUGUGGGCAUUUGCCCUGCGAGCAGAAUGCAGUCUGUGCCUUUGAGUGGCCUGAACUAGUAACAUGAGGGACACCGUGAGGAUAAUCAGACCUGAUUUUUCUUGUUCUGUGUCACAGACUUGUUUCUGGUGAGUUUACUGUGUAUUCUUUUAGGUUUCAGGUGAUCUGUUACAAUGUGGUACAUAGACGUCAUGUUUUGGACCAGGCGUGGCGAUGCUCAAAGUAUGGACUCUUUUGCUGGAAAAAGGACAAACUUUGGUUGAAAUUUCAUAUUUUGUAAAUAAUCCCCUCUUUUGACUCAGCCUUCAGCAAUCUGAACAGUCUGGUACGGCGGAGUCCAAAUCUGAGUUUUAGCUCAUGGUGACAAGUGACUUUGCUGAGGCUGAUCCAAAGGAUCACCACAACAAAUGCACUUUCUUUUAUGUUUGGCAGUAAGGUUAUGUGGAGGAAGACUAGUCACAACGUCAAAGUCCUGCUGAUAAGACGUAUGUUCGGACUCAUGGUUCAGGCGCGCUGUGACAGUAAAAACUUGUCAACUAGCUCUGAGGUCCACCCUCUGCCUCUCCCUUUCUCUCCUUCGUGCAGAAUUAGCAAGAUUAUUUUUGUAGAGAAAUAUGAAUAACAACUUUAAAAAAGUUUUAUUACUGUACAGCUUUUGUAUCAGAACAGACGGUAAGGUGUUACAGUGUUUUUGUUUGACCUCAACUGUGCUGUGUGUAAUUGUUUUAUGCAUUUACAAUCAUAUUUAUUAAAUGGAAAAAAGUG